UAUAAAAACCUCUCCCUCUCAAUUCUUACUCCCUCGGACCCCCACCCAAAAUUUCGUCCGUCUGCACUCCAAUGGAGCAGUAUGAAAAAGUUGAGAAGAUU